GGCCUUUCCAGUGUUUAUACAUACAUCACUUCAUGCUAAACCACAGAUUAAGUUGUCUAAAUCUUGGAGCGGAACCAACAGGGAAGAUUUGUCUCCUGCAGCCUCUUCACUGUCUCUCUUCUUCCUCUUCAGCUUUCAUCAGGGAUGGAGUCUAUGUCGGCUUCAUCUCUCGGCCGUUUUGGUAGAACUGACAUCGAUGGGAUGGUUUGAUCAUCACAGUCCUCCUUCUUCUUUUUGGCUGGAUUGCCUGCUGAGCUUCUACAGAAGAAGAAUGAAGAAGCAGCUCACUAACCUGCUGCCUGAUGCUGAGUCUUCAUCUGAAUCCAGUCUUCUUUUAUUUGUAACGGAGUUCUCACUGCUAACAAGAAAAUGUUCUUAAACUUCCAUCUUUGUCUAAUGCUGAUUGUAUAAUCGAGCCUUUAGAGGCAGACAGACUUACUUGAUGCUGUCGCUCAUGAGAUUUUCCAUCGUUAUAAAUGGAUGCUGAAGAAUUUGACCAGGAGAGACUCUCUCAGCUGGAUCCAUCAUCAGCAUGUUUCUUACCAGGUCUAAGAAACUAGCCAGCUCCCUCUCAUCCUCAGUUUCUUCAGGCGUUUUGGUACACACCUAUUGUGAGAUCAGAAAGAAACCAUGAGAGAAAAUCACCUCCUUUAGGGCACAGAAUUAAGACAUACAUAUUUUCCACAAACCUUUUUGAGGAAAUCCAGGUUCUUCUGCUGAGCAGAGUUUAAGUUUUGAGUUUUAAUGGCCUUCUGUAAAAGCAAUGGCUGAAUUAGACAAGUUCAAAAUGCAGGAGACAGAAUAAAUUAAAGGUAAAGAUGUCAUACUGCAGGUCUGGUGUCUGUCUCUCUCUCUUCUCUGCAGGGUGUGAUGGGCAGGUGCAGCUCAUCUCUGUUAAUUUUGGAGCCUACUUAAGGAGCCUGGACCAGGAGGAGGGCGUCAGUUCUUUCUCGCUACCAGCGUGCCACCAACCAAGCCAGUUUGCCGCAGCCCUCCUCCAGGAGCCCACCUGCCUGUCCACCCUCCUACAAACCAUCACCUGAAGGGUAGAGAGUCAGUUGCUCCUGGACCCAGGACCAGCGGCGUAGGAAGCGGGGGGGACAUGUCCCCCCCAAUAUAAAAGCCAGGCGCAGCAUAGCGUUACGUCACUGUACUCCCCCUCCCCUCUCUGAACUGCUGAGCGUUUGAGCACUCAGAAGGGAGGGAAACGGCGACACAGAAGUCAGAAACUUGUGAAUGAGGAAACAGGCCAGAACCAAUGAACAGCUCCACUGCGAUGCAGCCCAGGGACCAAACAUCUGCAGCUGAAUUAAAGGCGGCUCCCAGGAGGACCUCUGGGCAUCUAUGAGGAGAUAUGUUUAAAGAUUAUUAAUCAGUCAGCGAUUAUCAUCUGGCUGCUUUCUUCUUCAAUUUAUUUUAAAAGUUCUUCCUGAGUUCCUUAACUGAGGUUCUGUUAAAACCUAAUUUAGAAGUGGUUAACAACAGAGAUUCAGAUUGUUGGUUCUAAAAGAUCUGCUGACAGAAAAUCCAAGAUUUGCCAAGUCCACUGCUGAAUUCCACCAUCAGUGUGGUAUGCUAACAUUUAUCUAUCAACUUUUAGAUUCCCUCAAUAUUUUAUUUUAAAGUGUUUGUUUUUAUUGGUUUAUGUCAGACUAAGGCCCCUGUCACACCUUAACGAUUUAGACCAGCGUAUGCCUGACGUACGACAAAUCUGGCAAAAAUGCUGUCAUACGUUGGAUAAGAACUUGUCUCCAAUGCAUAUCAACGUAUCUGACGUGUUCCAGACGACCGCUGAACGUGAUUCUAACUUACAGCUACUGUAUAAUGGCGCGUUGGCAGCGUUUUGGUAUAAAAGGGGAUCACCGGAGGAAACCUCCAGACUUCAUCCCCACCGUAGGGUGAGAGUGAUUGAUGCUCCCUGCGUUCACACCCUCGACCACGACCAACAAACUUCGUAGCAGACAUGACGCUGAAUCUACUGCAUCUGCAAAUCUUCUUUCUUUCUUUUUCUUUAUUCUUUUUUUUGGGCGAGCAAUAAACAGCAGCUAGGUUAGUGCCGCAAUCAAAAACAUCUUUACAUGUAGAACGGGGGCCUCUGGGAGCAUCGCUGCCCCCUCAGGAUACUGGCUUGUGACAUUUCCCGUGUAUUACGCAGCUGUGCGUUAUGCAUAAAUUAGGCUGUCGCUGGCAAUAAGUUCUGGAGUGGUUAUGAAUACUCUGUGUAUACGCCCAAAAUUGAAACAAAUUCAUAGAAAGUUCAGCGUAUGCCAGCGUUUUAGAAGAUUCUGGGACAUCAGGCAAACGCUAAAUCGGCAAGGUGUGACACGGGCUUAACCGAUAGCCUUGAGUUGUUGACUGCAAGUAAUGCUAUUUGCUUCCUAGUUUUCAAAAUAACUCCACUAAAAACAAUCAGUAGUCCCUUUAACUGAUUUGAAUUUGAAGAAGCCAGAGAAAUGAUUGUAGGUAGCCAUAUAUUCCUCAUUAUUUUCUCUUAAUAAUCCUAGGCAGAUUGUGUCCAAAGUGACAGAGGAGGAAGUUGCAAACCUGAACUCCAGGGUCUGAAGAACUGCUCCUGUAUGAUUUUCAGGAUAUGUCACAGCUAAACCAAAGUCAAUUAUUUUGACCCUCAUGGGCUGUUGUAGAUGGUCCUGGAUCAUUAUGUUUUCUGGCUUUAGGUCUGCAUGGACAAUCCCAACACUCUGAAGAAAGUCCAGAGCUAUGGCAAGCUGAAAGCAAGAGCAAUUAUGAAUAAACAUGGUUAUUUUAGAAGAACUGCUUUGCUUCAUUCAUUUGACUUCAU